CNACCUGCCCAUCACUUGGGGAUAACCUUGCGAAAGUAAGACUAAUACCCAAUGACGUCUCUAGAANACAUCUGAAAGAGAUUAAAGAUUUAUCGGUGAUGGAUGGGGAUGCGUCUGAUUAGCUUGUUGGCGGGGUAACGGCCCACCAAGGCGACGAUCAGUAGGGGUUCUGAGAGGAAGGUCCCCCACAUUGGAACUGAGACACGGUCCAAACUCCUACGGGAGGCAGCAGUGAGGAAUAUUGGUCAAUGGGCGAGAGCCUGAACCAGCCAAGUAGCGUGCAGGAUGACGGCCCUAUGGGUUGUAAACUGCUUUUAUAAGGGAAUAAAGUGAGUCUCGUGAGACUUUUUGCAUGUACCUUAUGAAUAAGGACCGGCUAAUUCCGUGCCAGCAGCCGCGGUAAUACGGAAGGUCCGGGCGUUAUCCGGAUUUAUUGGGUUUAAAGGGAGCGUAGGCCGGAGAUUAAGCGUGUUGUGAAAUGUAGACGCUCAUCGUCUGCACUGCAGCGCGAACUGGUUUCCUUGAGUACGCACAAAGUGGGCGGAAUUCGUGGUGUAGCGGUGAAAUGCUUAGAUAUCACGAAGAACUCCGAUUG
rnacentral:rRNA from 1 species